rnacentral:lncRNA from 1 species
GAUUGUUGUAUUAAACUCAAUCCAUCCAGAAGGUCAAGGAAGGCAGCCACCAGCUGUCACCGCCCAGCCACCAACCGGCCAGCCGCCAGCCACCAGCUGUUUGCCGCCACAGCCGCCAGCCGCCUUCACACUUGAAGGUUGAAUUUUCUUGUUUUGAAUUCGUGUAUAAAUAGCAAGCUAAGCUUAUGUUAUUCUGUGUGGAGAGAGUAGAGAGAAACACUAGAGAGAAAGAGAGAGGGCGUGUAUUGUGUUAAGCUUUUGUGUUAAGUAAUUGUAAGCUUUUGUUCUUGAAAUAAAACAGUGUGUUUUAUCCCCUCCGAGUGUUUCAAAGCCACCACCAGUGGUUUCUCCCACCAACAAUUGGUAUCAGAGCCCCGUUCGUCAGAAAACAGAAGUGUUUUGGGAGAUAUCCGAAUUUUCAAAGUUGUCAAAAACAAGUUUUGAUCAUUCCAUUGUAUAGAGCUCAUCCAUACGAACUCACUGCCGCAAAAAUCAGCUCAAUCGGACACCGGGGUGAGCCACACGCGCCGCCUGAAGAUCCGGUGACUGUAGCCCAGUCUCACCCACGCGCGCCAGAGGAAGAAGACGAGUGACGUCCACGCGCGCCAUAUUUGAGCCGUUAAGCCGAGCCGAGCCGAGCUGCAAGCCAAGCCUCCAGCCGCGCCGAAGAAUAUUCCCAAGAAUAUUCCCUUUUCAAGCCGAGCCGCUAUUAGCCGAAGCCGAGCCGAUAGAAUAUUCCACAGAAUAUUCCCGGUUCAACCCAGCAAACCGCCCGACGCCCAGAAUUGGUUUUUUGACCGGUUCACCCAUUUUCUGACCUGAUUUCUACAAAGUCAAACCGGUUCCCGACUAUUUCGACCAUUCCGGAUCGAUCUACAAUGUCGGUUUUGCCAAAUUCAACUCCCAGAAGGAGAUAUAGUCAUUAAAAGAGCAAAAUGACUACAGAAAGUACACAAACACUCAUCCCGAAGCUGACCAAAGACAACUAUGAUAGUUGGUGCAUAAGAUUAAAGGCAUUUCUUGGUUCACAAGAGUGUUUGGAGAUUGUACACUAUGGUUAUGAUGAACCAGAGUCUAAAGAAGAAGAAGAUGCUUUACAAGAGGCACAGAAGCAAGCCCUGAAAGUCAACAGAAAGAAGGACAACAAAGCAAAGACCAUCAUCUACCAAGGUCUUGAUGAAGAUACAUUCGAGAUCAUAGCUUCCGCUGAAACAUCAAAAGACAUAUGGGAGGCUCUCCAACAAAAAUACAAAGGUGCUGACAGAAUCAAGAAGAUUCGUCUUCAAUCUUUGCGAGGUGAAUUUGAGUUAUUGCAAAUGAAGUCCUCAGAAUCUAUUUCUGAUUAUCACACAAGGAUUAUGGUGAUAGUCAAUCAGAUGAGGAGAAAUGGAGAAGCCAUCAUAGAUUCUCGAAUUACUGAGAAAAUUUUGAGAUCCCUAGAUCCAAAAUUUGAUUUUGUUGUUGUCGCUAUUGAAGAGUCCAAGGAAGUGGACAAGUUGACAGUUGAUGAGCUUAUGAGUUCUUUGCAAGCUCAUGAGCAGAAGAUUGUAAAGCGAAAUGGAGAUAAGGCCAUCGAGCAUGCCUUACAAGCAAAGAUGUCUCUCAAGGACAGAUAUGAGCAAGGGGAGACUUCAACAAGUGGAUAUACCACUCAAGCAGGAAGUCAACAAUCCAGAGGAGGAUUCCAGAGAUUCCAAGGAAGAGGUUCUUGGAAUACAAGCUUUAGAGGAAGAGGUGGUAGAAACACCACCAGAGGAGGUAGAGGACAGCAAGCAUUCACUCCUAGAGGAAGAGGAGGCGGUUACAAUAACCGUGACAAGAGGAAUAUCCAAUGUUAUAGUUGCAAUCAAUUUGGGCACUAUAGCACUGAAUGCAGAAGGAAAGCUCCGUUGGAGAUACGUGAGCAAGCCAACUAUGCAGAGAAGGAUGACAUAGAAGCUGCAUUUCUUGUCCAACAAGAACUUGGCGAGAAACAGGAAAAUAUAUGGUAUCUAGAUACUGGAGCCAGCAAUCACAUGUGUGGCUACCGAGAGUUAUUUAGUGAUCUAGAUGAGACCAAGCAAGGUCUAGUUACUUUUGGAGAUACCUCAAAGGUUCCAUUCAAAGGUAAAGGCAGCAUCCCAAUCAAGUUGAAGAACGGCGAUUCCAGCUACAUCGCCAAUGUUUAUUAUGUCCCAGCCAUAAAGCAGAACCUGAUCAGCUUAGGUCAACUUUUGGAGAGAGGAUAUACUUUUUACUCGAAGAAUUGCCAUCUGACAAUUAGAGACAACAAUUGGAGAUUAAUGGCCUAUGUGAAAAUGUCCAAGAAUAGGAUGUUUCCUUUGAACAUCCAGUAUGAUGCAGCAAGGUGUUUGAGUGCCAUCACCAACAGUGAAGAAUGGCUCUGGCACCUGAGGCUUGGACAUCUGAAUUUCACGAGCUUGAAGAUGCUAGCAAGCAAGAAGAUGGUCAAAGGUAUGCCUCACAUUGAUCAUCCAGAUGAAGUCUGUGAGAGUUGUGUCCUCAGCAAACAUCACAGAUCCAGUUUUGCCAAAGAAGUCAACUGGAAAGCAAAGAGGCCACUGGAGUUAGUACACACAGAUGUGUGUGGCCCAAUAACGCCUAUGUCGACUGGACAGAAUAGGUACUUCCUCACUUUUAUUGAUGAUUUUAGUAGAAAGACGUGGAUAUACUUUCUGAAGAGGAAGUCAGAAGUAUUCAAUUGUUUUAAAGAUUUUAAAGCAAUUGUGGAGAAGCAAAGUGGUUACAUGAUCAGAACAGUGAGAUCUGAUCAAGGUGGAGAAUAUACAGCAAAUGACUUUGAAGCCUUCUGUACACAACAAGGCAUCAGACAUCAAACAACGCCUGCUUAUACACCACAGCUGAAUGGUGUAGCUGAAAGGAAGAAUCGCACGAUUCUUGACAUGGCAAGAAGUCUGCUCAAAGCAAAGAAGUUGCCCAAGCAAUACUGGGCUGAAGCUGUAUCAUGUGCAGUGUAUCUACUGAAUCGCUGCCCAAACAGAAGUUUGCAAGGUGUCACUCCAGAAGAAGCUUGGAGUGGUCACAAACCAAGUGUUACUCAUCUACGAGUCUUUGGUUGUGUGGCAUAUGCAAAGAUCCCAGAUGCAAGAAGGAGAAAACUCGAUGAUAAAAGCGAGAGAUGCAUCUUUGUGGGAUAUGGUGAAAGAAGGAUGGGAUACAAGCUGUAUAAUCCCAUCACGAAGAAGGUGAUUAUGAGUAGAGAUGUUAUCUUUGAAGAAGAUAAAUCUUGGGAAUGGACUGAUAAUAAAGAAGCAGUUAGAUGGAUCAACAUUGAUUUGAUCCUUGAAGGUGAAGAAGUACCAACAGUACUUGUCGAAGAACCGAUUGUGCCAGCAGCUGAACCACAAAGUCCGGUGAUUAUACCAGCAGCUGAACCACAAAGUCCAGUACACAGAUUCCCUGUAUUCAACAGGAGGAACACACCAGGAGCAUCAUCAUCAACACCAGCAGCAGCAUCCUCGUCAGAAGGACCAAGAAGGAUGAGAAAUCUUGACGAGUUGUACGAUGCCACGCAAGUCAUCGAAGAUACAACUCUAUUUUGUUUCUUUGCAGACAAUGACCCACUUAGCUUCAACAAAGCUAUCACAGAAGAGAAGAUAGAAGCAAUGGAUAAAGAAAUGCAUGCCAUUGAGAAGAAUGAUAUCUGGAAGCUGACUUAUCCACCAGAAAGCAAGAAAGCAAUAGGUGUCAAAUGGGUCUAUAAGAAAAAGAAGAAUGCAAAAGAAGAAGCGCAAAAAUACAAAGCCAUUGAAGAGGGAAACAUUUAUCAGAAUGAAGUUCAUGCUUGGCAUGACAUCCCUCGAUUGAGUUUAAAGGGGAGAUUUGUUGUAUUAAACUCAAUCCAUCCAGAAGGUCAAGGAAGGCAGCCACCAGCUGUCACCGCCCAGCCACCAACCGGCCAGCCGCCAGCCACCAGCUGUUUGCCGCCACAGCCGCCAGCCGCCUUCACACUUGAAGGUUGAAUUUUCUUGUUUUGAAUUCGUGUAUAAAUAGCAAGCUAAGCUUAUGUUAUUCUGUGUGGAGAGAGUAGAGAGAAACACUAGAGAGAAAGAGAGAGGGCGUGUAUUGUGUUAAGCUUUUGUGUUAAGUAAUUGUAAGCUUUUGUUCUUGAAAUAAAACAGUGUGUUUUAUCCCCUCCGAGUGUUUCAAAGCCACCACCAGUGGUUUCUCCCACCAACAUAGAUGGCCCCUUCCAUAUACAUUUGAGCUCAG